UACGGGGGGGGCAAGCGUUGUUCGGAAUUACUGGGCGUAAAGGGCGCGUAGGCGGCAUGGCAAGUCAGGAGUGAAAGGCCUGGGCUCAACCGAGGAACUGCUUUUGAUACUGCCAAGCUAGAGUGCGGAAGGGGCAACCGGAAUUCCCAGUGUAGCGGUGAAAUGCGUAGAUAUUGGGAAGAACACCUGAGGCGAAGGCGGGUUGCUGGGCCGACACUGAUGCUGAGGCGCGAAAGCCAGGGGAGCAAACGGG
rnacentral:rRNA from 1 species